UACGUAGGGGGCAAGCGUUGUCCGGAUUUAUUGGGCGUAAAGAGCGUGUAGGCGGCCUUACAGGUCAGCUGUGAAAACUCGAGGCUCAACCUCGAGACGUCGGUUGAAACCGUAUGGCUAGAGUCCGGAAGAGGAGAGUGGAAUUCCCGGUGUAGCGGUGAAAUGCGCAGAUAUCGGGAAAAACACCCGUGGCGAAGGCGGCUCUCUGGGACGGUACUGACGCUGAGACGCGAAAGCGUGGGGAGCGAACAGG
rnacentral:rRNA from 1 species